rnacentral:rRNA from 1 species
UACAGAGGUCUCAAGCGUUGUUCGGAUUCAUUGGGCGUAAAGGGUGCGUAGGUGGCGCCAUAAGUCAGGUGUGAAAUCUCGGGGCUUAACUCCGAAACUGCAUUUGAUACUGUGGUGCUUGAGGACUGGAGAGGAGACUGGAGUUCACGGUGUAGCAGUGAAAUGCGUAGAUAUCGUGAGGAAGACCAGUGGCGAAGGCGGGUCUCUGGACAGUUCCUGACACUGAGGCACGAAGGCCAGGGGAGCAAACGGG